AGGGAUGUAGCGCAGCUUGGUAGCACGUUUGUUUUGGGUACAAAAUGUCACGGGUUCAAAUAUCCCUACCUA
rnacentral:tRNA from 4 species